GUGUCAGCCGCCGCGGUAAGACGAACCGUGCGAACGUUGUUCGGAAUCACUGGGCUUAAAGGGCGCGUAGGCGGGCGAGCAAGUCCGGGGUGAAAGCCUCCGGCUUAACCGGAGAAGGGCCUUGGAUACUGCUCGUCUUGAGGGAGGUAGGGGCUUGUGGAACUUCCGGUGGAGCGGUGAAAUGCGUUGAUAUCGGAAGGAACGCCGGUGGCGAAAGCGACAAGCUGGCCCUCUUCUGACGCUGAGGCGCGAAAGCUAGGGGAGCAAACGGGAUUAGAAACCCUGGUAGUCC
rnacentral:rRNA from 1 species